UGAGUGGCGAACGGGUGAGUAAUACGUGAGUAACCUGCCCUUGACUCUGGGAUAAGCCUGGGAAACUGGGUCUAAUACUGGAUACGACAUGUCACCGCAUGGUGGUGUGUGGAAAGGGUUUUACUGGUUUUGGAUGGGCUCACGGCCUAUCAGCUUGUUGGUGGGGUAAUGGCUCACCAAGGCGACGACGGGUAGCCGGCCUGAGAGGGUGACCGGCCACACUGGGACUGAGACACGGCCCAGACUCCUACGGGAGGCAGCAGUC
rnacentral:rRNA from 1 species